rnacentral:tRNA from 1 species
GCCCGCCUAGCUCAAUCGGAUAGAGCGUCAGACUCUUAUGACUAGGCAAUCUGAAGGCUGCGAGUUCGACCCUCGCGGUGGGCU